GAUGAACGCUAGCGGCAGGCCUAACACAUGCAAGUCGAGGGGUAUAGGGAGCUUGCUUCCUAGAGACCGGCGCACGGGUGCGUAACGCGUAUGCAAUCUACCUUGUACAGGGGAAUAGCCCAGAGAAAUUUGGAUUAAUGCCCCAUAGUAUUAUUAAAUGGCAUCCUUUAAUAAUUAAAGUUCCAACGGUACAAGAUGAGCAUGCGUCCUAUUAGUUAGUUGGUGUGGUAACGGCAUACCAAGACGAUGAUAGGUAGGGGUCCUGAGAGGGAGAUCCCCCACACUGGUACUGAGACACGGACCAGACUCCUACGGGAGGCAGCAGUGAGGAAUAUUGGACAAUGGGCGCAAGCCUGAUCCAGCCAUGCCGCGUGCAGGAAGACGGUCCUAUGGAUUGUAAACUGCUUUUUAUACAGGAAGAAACACUGGUUCGUGAACCAGCUUGACGGUACUGUAAGAAUAAGGAUCGGCUAACUCCGUGCCAGCAGCCG
rnacentral:rRNA from 1 species